UGAAUACGAGACGCUAAGGCGUCGAAGUAGUGUAUGUCAUACUUCCAAGAAAAGCUUGCACUGUCAUUAAUAAAAAAUGCCUGUACCAUAACCGACACAGGUGGGUAGGUAGAGUAUACUAAGGGGCGCGAGAUAACUCUCUCUAAGGAACUCGGCAAAAUAACUCCGUAACUUCGGGAGAAGGAGUGCCUUAUUCUUAAGGUUGCAAUAACAAGAUCCAAGCAACUGUUUAUCAAAAACACAGGUCUCCGCUAAGUCGCAAGACGAUGUAUGGGGGCUGACGCCUGCCCAGUGCCAGAAGGUUAAAGAAGUUGGUUAGCUUUUGCGAAGCUGAUAACUGAAGCCCUGGUGAACGGCGGCCGUAACUAUAACGGUCCUAAGGUAGCGAAAUUCCUUGUCGGGUAAGUUCCGACCCGCACGAAAGGCGUAAUGAUUUGGAUACUGUCUCGGAGAGGGGCUCGGUGAAAUAGACUUGUCUGUGAAGAUGCGGACUACCUGCACCAGGACAGAAAGACCCUAUGAAGCUUUACUGUAACUUGAAAUUGAAAUUGGACUUUAUUCGCGCAGUAUAGGUGGGAGGCGUUGAUUGUAAUCUUGCGGGAUUAUUGGAGCCAUCAGUGAGAUACCACUCUUGUAAUGUUAGAUUUCUAACUUUGUAUCAUUAUCUGGUCAAAGAACAGUUUCAGGCGGGCAGUUUGACUGGGGCGGUCGCCUCCUAAACGGUAACGGAGGCGUACAAAGGUUUCCUCUGAACGGUUAGAAAUCGUAUCUAGAGUGUAAAGGCAUAAGGAAGCUUGACUGUGAGACCUACAAGUCGAGCAGGGACGAAAGUCGGUCUUAGUGAUCUGACGGUACUGAGUGGAAAGGCCGUCACUCAACGGAUAAAAGUUACUCUAAGGAUAACAGGCUGAUCUCCCCCAAGAGUUCACAUCGACGGGGGGGUUUGGCACCUCGAUGUCGGCUCAUCGCAUCCUGGGGCGGUAGUACGUCCCAAGGGUUGGGCUGUUCGCCCAUGAAAGCGGUACGCGAGCUGGGUUCAGAACGUCGUGAGACAGUUCGGUCCAUAUCCGGUGUAGGCGUUAGAAUAUUGAGAGGAGCCUUCUUUAGUACGAGAGGACCGAGAAGGACAUACCUCUGGUGUACCAGUUAUCGUGCCAACGGUAAACGCUGGGUAGCUAUGUAUGGAGUGGAUAACCGCUGAAAGCAUCUAAGUGGGAAGCCCACCUCAAGAUAAG
rnacentral:rRNA from 1 species